rnacentral:rRNA from 1 species
CCUACGGGAGGCAGCAGUGGGGAAUAUUGCACAAUGGGCGCAAGCCUGAUGCAGCGACGCCGCGUGAGGGAUGACGGCCUUCGGGUUGUAAACCUCUUUCAGUACCGACGAAGCGCAAGUGACGGUAGGUACAGAAGAAGCACCGGCCAACUACGUGCCAGCAGCCGCGGUAAUACGUAGGGUGCGAGCGUUGUCCGGAAUUACUGGGCGUAAAGAGCUCGUAGGCGGUUUGUCGCGUCGUCUGUGAAAACCCGCAGCUCAACUGCGGGCUUGCAGGCGAUACGGGCAGACUUGAGUACUGCAGGGGAGACUGGAAUUCCUGGUGUAGCGGUGAAAUGCGCAGAUACAGGAGGAACACCGGUGGCGAAGGCGGGUCUCUGGGCAGUAACUGACGCUGAGAGCGAAAGCGUGGGUAGCGAACAGAUUAGAUACCCUGGUAGUCCACGCCGUAAACGGUGGGCGCUAGUGUGGGUUUCCUUCCACGGGUCCGUGCCUACCUAAGCUUUGCGCCCCGGCCGCCCCCGAGACCCACGAUAA